AAAUUGAAGAGUUUGAUCAUGGCUCAGAUUGAACGCUGGCGGCAGGCCUAACACAUGCAAGUCGAACGGUAACAGGAAGCAGCUUGCUGCUUCGCUGACGAGUGGCGGACGGGUGAGUAAUGUCUGGGAAACUGCCUGAUGGAGGGGGAUAACUACUGGAAACGGUGGCUAAUACCGCAUAACGUCGCAAGACCAAAGAGGGGGACCUUCGGGCCUCUUGCCAUCAGAUGUGCCCAGAUGGGAUUAGCUAGUUGGUGAGGUAACGGCUCACCAAGGCGACGAUCCCUAGCUGGUCUGAGAGGAUGACCAGCCACACUGGAACUGAGACACGGUCCAGACUCCUACGGGAGGCAGCAGUGGGGAAUAUUGCACAAUGGGCGCAAGCCUGAUGCAGCCAUGCCGCGUGUAUGAAGAAGGCCUUCGGGUUGUAAAGUACUUUCAGCGGGGAGGAAGGUGUUGUGGUUAAUAACCACAGCAAUUGACGUUACCCGCAGAAGAAGCACCGGCUAACUCCGUGCCAGCAGCCGCGGUAAUACGGAGGGUGCAAGCGUUAAUCGGAAUUACUGGGCGUAAAGCGCACGCAGGCGGUCUGUCAAGUCGGAUGUGAAAUCCCCGGGCUCAACCUGGGAACUGCAUUCGAAACUGGCAGGCUUGAGUCUUGUAGAGGGGGUAGAAUUCCAGGUGUAGCGGUGAAAUGCGUAGAGAUCUGGAGGAAUACCGGUGGCGAAGGCGGCCCCCUGGACAAAGACUGACGCUCAGGUGCGAAAGCGUGGGGAGCAAACAGGAUUAGAUACCCUGGUAGUCCACGCCGUAAACGAUGUCUACUUGGAGGUUGUGCCCUUGAGGCGUGGCUUCCGGAGCUAACGCGUUAAGUAGACCGCCUGGGGAGUACGGCCGCAAGGUUAAAACUCAAAUGAAUUGACGGGGGCCCGCACAAGCGGUGGAGCAUGUGGUUUAAUUCGAUGCAACGCGAAGAACCUUACCUGGUCUUGACAUCCACAGAAGAAUCCAGAGAUGGAUUUGUGCCUUCGGGAACUGUGAGACAGGUGCUGCAUGGCUGUCGUCAGCUCGUGUUGUGAAAUGUUGGGUUAAGUCCCGCAACGAGCGCAACCCUUAUCCUUUGUUGCCAGCGGUUAGGCCGGGAACUCAAAGGAGACUGCCAGUGAUAAACUGGAGGAAGGUGGGGAUGACGUCAAGUCAUCAUGGCCCUUACGACCAGGGCUACACACGUGCUACAAUGGCGCAUACAAAGAGAAGCGACCUCGCGAGAGCAAGCGGACCUCAUAAAGUGCGUCGUAGUCCGGAUUGGAGUCUGCAACUCGACUCCAUGAAGUCGGAAUCGCUAGUAAUCGUGGAUCAGAAUGCCACGGUGAAUACGUUCCCGGGCCUUGUACACACCGCCCGUCACACCAUGGGAGUGGGUUGCAAAAGAAGUAGGUAGCUUAACCUUCGGGAGGGCGCUUACCACUUUGUGAUUCAUGACUGGGGUGAAGUCGUAACAAGGUAACCGUAGGGGAACCUGCGGUUGGAUCACCUCCUUACCUUAAAGAA
rnacentral:rRNA from 1 species